UUUACCCUCAUUAUAGUUAUUACCCAGUUAUAACGCAACCAUGAAUAGCAUUUUUUUUUCCCAAGUUGCAGUUCCAUCUGGCGACACUGGGAGCAGAGCUGAGAAUUUUCAGCUGCGUCACAGAACAGAGAGGAGAAACAGUCUGUGUCGACAGGUCUCUGAAAAUCAGCUGCAGCAACACACAGAGAAGAGAGAUCUGCGAAAGCCAGCAAGUAUGAUGGGCUGGGCACUGUCAUAUGCUGAGCAUCUUUGCACAAACUGAUACCCAGUUUCCAAAUUUCUCUGUUCGUGUCUGCGAGAUGCAGAGAAAACCUAACAUAUUAAUCCCGCAGGGGGAGGAGGUGAGACGUUGGUAGGUUGUGAUGGGGAGGGCGAACGAUGAGGUUCGGGAUGAUGAGUGUGGGUUUGUGAAGGGGUUAAUGGAAAUUCUGGAACCUUCUACCCGUACGUGGAUGUCACGCGGAUACCCAAACCUACGCAGCAAUAAUUGGGGGUGAGUGUUCUCAUAUUCUGAGUGCCUGGCUGUUCCUACAGACGUAAAAGACAACCCUGGAGGUAUUAAAGACUGCGUCACCGCCACCAUGACACAGCGGACACCCGCGUUCGAGAACAUGAGAUCACAACGUCCAUCUAGCAAAAAAAUUGAGAAUUUCUUAUCACUUUAUAAAUGCUUGGUUCCUCACUUCCAGUAGCUGCAAGAAUCUUAUAAACGAAAGACAUUUCCUUUGCGCAAAAUUAUGAAAUAUGCUGUGACUUGCAAACAGGAAUACUAUUAUUUCACAAAAUGCUGAGUCUCAUAAUAUUAACAGUUGCUACCUCUGGUACGCCACAUUCCCAAUGAUGCCAAAUGAAAAUUACACGGUCUUUACUGCCCGAACCUCAGGUUUGUGAAAAAUAUACCAGGUAAGCCAGUUCUGGAU